rnacentral:rRNA from 1 species
UACGUAGGGUGCGAGCGUUGCCCGGAUUUAUUGGGCGUAAAGGGCGCGUAGGCGGCUACGCACGUCCGUUGUGAAAUCGCUCGGCUCAACUGGGCGGGGUCAGCGGAUACGGCGUAGCUGGAGCAAGCUAGGGGGCAAUGGAAUUCCCGGUGUAGUGGUGGAAUGCGUAGAUAUCAGGAGGAACACCGGUGGUGUAGACGGCUUUCUGGACCGUAACUGACGCUGAGACACGAAAGCGUGGGUAGCAAACAGG